rnacentral:rRNA from 1 species
AAUGAACGCUGGCGGCGCGCCUAAUACAUGCAAGUCGAGCGAGAAGACGUAGCAAUACGUUUGUAAAGCGGCGAACGGGUGAGGAAUACAUGGGUAACCUACCCUCGAGUGGGGAAUAACUAGCCGAAAGGUUAGCUAAUACCGCGUACGCUCCUUGGACUUCGGUUCAGGGAGGAAAGCGAUACCGUGGGUAUCGCGCUCUUGGUUGGGCUCAUGUCCUAUCAGCUUGUGGUGAGGAACGGCUCACCAAGGCUUCGACGGGUAGCUGGUCUGAGAGGACGAUCAGCCACACUGGCACUGCGACACGGGCCAGACUCCUACGGGAGGCAGCAGUAAGGAAUAUUGCGCAAUGGGCGAAAGCCUGACGCAGCGACGCCGCGUGGGGGAUGAAGGUC